CUAAGUCAGCAACUUGAUUCCAGCAAUUG
rnacentral:miRNA from 1 species